GGAUGUGAGGGCAAUAUGGCUGUGACAUCUGGUUGCUCUGGCUGGCUAGACUGGUGUCCUCUUCCUCCCUCACCCCUCUAUGUACACUUCUCCUGAAGCUGCAUGCUCCGUGGAAGAAGAAAACCUUCCUUUUUGGUCAAGGGUGUAUGAGUAGCUGUACUUCCCUGCUAGAACCUCCAAACAAGCUCUCAAAAAUGUCCAUGAGCAGAAUGGUGUGUGUGUAUGAUUAAAGAAACAAGGAUAAAUUUAUUAUUUUU
ensembl:misc_RNA 7SK 7SK RNA